ACGAACGCUGGCGGCGUGCUUAACACAUGCAAGUCGGACGGAAAGGCCCUGCUUUUGUGGGGUGCUCGAGUGGCGAACGGGUGAGUAACACGUGAGUAACCUGCCCUUGACUUUGGGAUAACUUCAGGAAACUGGGGCUAAUACCGGAUAGGAGCUCCUGCUGCAUGGUGGGGGUUGGAAAGUUUCGGCGGUUGGGGAUGGACUCGCGGCUUAUCAGCUUGUUGGUGGGGUAGUGGCUUACCAAGGCUUUGACGGGUAGCCGGCCUGAGAGGGUGACCGGCGACAUUGGGACUGAGAGACGGCCCAGACUCCUACGGGAGGCAGCAGUGGGGAAUAUUGCACAAUGGGCGGAAGCCUGAUGCAGCAACGCCGCGUGCGGGAUGACGGCCUUCGGGUUGUAAACCGCUUUCGCCUGUGACGAAGCGUGAGUGACGGUAAUGGGUAAAGAAGCACCGGCUAACUACGUG
rnacentral:rRNA from 1 species